AGGAAGCUGAAAUUAAUCUUAUUAUAACUGAUUACUGUAUGCCUGGGAUGACUGGCUAUGAUUUGCUUAAGAAAAUUAAGGAAUCUGCAUCUCUGAGGAACAUACCAGUAGUGAUUAUGUCAUCUGAAAAUGUUCCUUCAAGAAUCAGUAGAUGCUUAGAAGAAGGGGCAGAGGAAUUUUUCUUGAAGCCAGUAAGAUUAUCAGAUGUUAAUAAACUUAAACCUCAUAUGAUGAAAACCAAAUGUAAAAGCCCCCAACAACAACAAAAACAAGAAGCUGAGAUAAUUGUGACACAAGACAAUCAAGAAUCAAUAGACACAACAUAUGUUGUUCCAUCACAACAAAAUCAAGAAUCAGACAACAUAGUACAACAACAACAACAGAAAUCACAAGACAAUAGUAACAACAACAAGAGAAAGGCCAUAGAAGAAAAUCUAUCAUCAGACAGAACAAGACAAAGAUUGAGUAGCCUUACUGCUAUCUAAUCUAAUGAAUGAUGCAUAUACUAUAGUUUUUCACUUUUUUUUUCCUUCACAAA
rnacentral:misc_RNA from 1 species